GGGUUGUGAGGUUAAGCGACUAAGCGUACACGGUGGAUGCCCUGGCAGUCAGAGGCGAUGAAGGACGUGCUAAUCUGCGAAAAGCGUCGGUAAGGUGAUAUGAACCGUUACAGCCGGCGAUGUCCGAAUGGGGAAACCCAGUGCAAUUCGUUGCACUAUCGUUAACUGAAUACAUAGGUUAACGAGGCGAACCGGGGGAACUGAAACAUCUAAGUACCCCGAGGAAAAGAAAUCAACCGAGAUUCCCCCAGUAGCGGCGAGCGAACGGGGAGCAGCCCAGAGUCUGAAUCAGCUUGUGUGUUAGUGGAACGGUCUGGAAAGUCCGACGGUACAGGGUGAUAGUCCCGUACACCAAAAUGCACAGGUUGUGAACUCGAAGAGUAGGGCGGGACACGUGGUAUCCUGUCUGAAUAUGGGGGGACCAUCCUCCAAGGCUAAAUACUCCUGACUGACCGAUAGUGAACCAGUACCGUGAGGGAAAGGCGAAAAGAACCCCGGCGAGGGGAGUGAAAAAGAACCUGAAACCGUGUACGUACAAGCAGUGGGAGCACCUUCGGGUGUGACUGCGUACCUUUUGUAUAAUGGGUCAGCGACUUAUAUUCUGUAGCAAGGUUAACCGUAUAGGGGAGCCGCAGGGAAACCGAGUCUUAACUGGGCGUUAAGUUGCAGGGUAUAGACCCGAAACCCGGUGAUCUAGCCAUGGGCAGGUUGAAGGUUGGGUAACACUAACUGGAGGACCGAACCGACUAAUGUUGAAAAAUUAGCGGAUGACUUGUGGCUGGGGGUGAAAGGCCAAUCAAACCGGGAGAUAGCUGGUUCUCCCCGAAAGCUAUUUAGGUAGCGCCUCGUGAACUCAUCUUCGGGGGUAGAGCACUGUUUCGGCUAGGGGGUCAUCCCGACUUACCAACCCGAUGCAAACUACGAAUACCGAAGAAUGUUAUCACGGGAGACACACGGCGGGUGCUAACGUCCGUCGUGAAGAGGGAAACAACCCAGACCGCCAGCUAAGGUCCCAAAGUCAUGGUUAAGUGGGAAACGAUGUGGGAAGGCACAGACAGCCAGGAUGUUGGCUUAGAAGCAGCCAUCAUUUAAAGAAAGCGUAAUAGCUCACUGGUCGAGUCGGCCUGCGCGGAAGAUGUAACGGGGCUAAACCAUGCACCGAAGCUGCGGCAGCGACACUAUGUGUUGUUGGGUAGGGGAGCGUUCUGUAAGCCUGCGAAGGUGUGCUGUGAGGCAUGCUGGAGGUAUCAGAAGUGCGAAUGCUGACAUAAGUAACGAUAAAGCGGGUGAAAAGCCCGCUCGCCGGAAGACCAAGGGUUCCUGUCCAACGUUAAUCGGGGCAGGGUGAGUCGACCCCUAAGGCGAGGCCGAAAGGCGUAGUCGAUGGGAAACAGGUUAAUAUUCCUGUACUUGGUGUUACUGCGAAGGGGGGACGGAGAAGGCUAUGUUAGCCGGGCGACGGUUGUCCCGGUUUAAGCAUGUAGGCUGAUUGUCCAGGCAAAUCCGGAUAAUCAAGGCUGAGGUGUGAUGACGAGGCACUACGGUGCUGAAGUAACAAAUGCCCUGCUUCCAGGAAAAGCCUCUAAGCAUCAGGUAACAUUAAAUCGUACCCCAAACCGACACAGGUGGUCAGGUAGAGAAUACCAAGGCGCUUGAGAGAACUCGGGUGAAGGAACUAGGCAAAAUGGUGCCGUAACUUCGGGAGAAGGCACGCUGGUGUGUAGGUGAAGUCCCUGCGGAUGGAGCUGAGACCAGUCGAAGAUACCAGCUGGCUGCAACUGUUUAUUAAAAACACAGCACUGUGCAAACACGAAAGUGGACGUAUACGGUGUGACGCCUGCCCGGUGCCGGAAGGUUAAUUGAUGGGGUUAUCCGUAAGGAGAAGCUCUUGAUCGAAGCCCCGGUAAACGGCGGCCGUAACUAUAACGGUCCUAAGGUAGCGAAAUUCCUUGUCGGGUAAGUUCCGACCUGCACGAAUGGCGUAAUGAUGGCCAGGCUGUCUCCACCCGAGACUCAGUGAAAUUGAACUCGCUGUGAAGAUGCAGUGUACCCGCGGCAAGACGGAAAGACCCCGUGAACCUUUACUAUAGCUUGACACUGAACAUUGAGCCUUGAUGUGUAGGAUAGGUGGGAGGCUUUGAAGCGUGGACGCCAGUCUGCGUGGAGCCAACCUUGAAAUACCACCCUUUAAUGUUUGAUGUUCUAACGUUGGCCCCUGACCGGGGUUGCGGACAGUGUCUGGUGGGUAGUUUGACUGGGGCGGUCUCCUCCCAAAGCGUAACGGAGGAGCACGAAGGUUAGCUAAUCCUGGUCGGACAUCAGGAGGUUAGUGCAAUGGCAUAAGCUAGCUUGACUGCGAGCGUGACGGCGCGAGCAGGUGCGAAAGCAGGUCAUAGUGAUCCGGUGGUUCUGAAUGGAAGGGCCAUCGCUCAACGGAUAAAAGGUACUCCGGGGAUAACAGGCUGAUACCGCCCAAGAGUUCAUAUCGACGGCGGUGUUUGGCACCUCGAUGUCGGCUCAUCACAUCCUGGGGCUGAAGUAGGUCCCAAGGGUAUGGCUGUUCGCCAUUUAAAGUGGUACGCGAGCUGGGUUUAGAACGUCGUGAGACAGUUCGGUCCCUAUCUGCCGUGGGCGCUGGAGAAUUGAGGGGGGCUGCUCCUAGUACGAGAGGACCGGAGUGGACGCAUCACUGGUGUUCGGGUUGUCAUGCCAAUGGCACUGCCCGGUAGCUAAAUGCGGAAGAGAUAAGUGCUGAAAGCAUCUAAGCACGAAACUUGCCCCGAGAUGAGUUCUCCCUGAGACUAUAAGUCUCCUGAAGGAACGUUAAAGACGAUGACGUUGAUAGGCCGGGUGUGUAAGCGCAGCGAUGCGUUGAGCUAACCGGUACUAAUGAACCGUGAGGCUUAACCUUACAACGCCGAAG
rnacentral:rRNA from 4 species